rnacentral:rRNA from 1 species
UACAGAGGUCUCAAGCGUUGUUCGGAUUCAUUGGGCGUAAAGGGUGCGUAGGCGGCGCGGUAAGUCGGGUGCGUAAUCUUGGAGCUUAACUCCGAAACUGCAUUCGAUACUGCCGUGCUUGAGGACUGGAGAGGAGACUGGAAUUUACGGUGUAGCGGUGAAAUGCGUAGAUAUCGUAAGGAAGACCAGUGGCGAAGGCGGGUCUCUGGACAGUUCCUGACGCUGAGGCACGAAGGCCAGGGGAGCAAACGGG